rnacentral:SRP_RNA from 2 species
GCUGGGUGUGGUGGCGCAUGCCCGUAAUCCGAGCUACUUCGGAGGCUGAGGCAGGAGAAUCACUUGAACCAGGGAGUCGGAGGUUGCAGUGAGCCAAGAUUGUGCCACUGCACUCCAGCCUGGUGACAGAGUGAGACUCUGUCUCAA